rnacentral:rRNA from 1 species
GCCCAAACCAAUAAAGUUUUCUUUAUUGGGGUUGCGGACAUAUCAUAACGAAGAGGUAUCGUAAUUGAAGAGGUUUGGAAAGACCCACCACAGAAGGUAAUAGUCCUGUAUGUUAAACGAGAAGACUUCAGAUAUGAUCCAGAGUACCACGGGACACGUGAAACCCUGUGGGAAGCAGGAGGGACCACCCUCCAAGGCUAAAUACUACCUAGUGACCGAUAGCGUAUAGUACCGUGAGGGAAAGGUGAAAAGAACCCCGGGAGGGGAGUGAAAUAGAACCUGAAACCCUGCACUUACAAGCUGUGGAAGCACAUUUCUUGUGUGACCGCGUACUUUUUGUAGAACGGGCCAACGAGUUACGUUAAGUAGCAAGGUUAAGCACUUAAGGUGUGGAGCCGUAGCGAAAGCGAGUUUUAACUGAGCGUUCAGUUACUUGACGUAGACCCGAAACCGGGCGACCUACCCAUGAGCAGGAUGAAGCGAAAGUAAAAUUUCGUGGAGGUCCGAACCCACGAGCGUUGAAAAGCUCGGGGAUGACUUGUGGGUAGCGGUGAAAUUCCAAUCGAGCCCGGAGAUAGCUGGUUCUCCCCGAAAUAGCUUUAGGGCUAGCCUCAAGGUGAGAGAUACGGAGGUAGAGCACUGAAUGUCCUAGGGGGUAUUGCACCUACCGAAGACUAUCAAACUCCGAAUGCCGUCAUCUUAUACUUGGGAGUCAGACUGUGGGUGAUAAGAUUCAUAGUCGAAAGGGCAACAGCCCAGAUCGUCAGCUAAGGUCCCUAAAUGUAAGUUAAGUGGUAAAGGAUGUGGGAUUGCACAGACAACCAGGAUGUUGGCUUAGAAGCAGCCACUCAUUCAAAGAGUGCGUAAUAGCUCACUGGUCGAGUGAUCCUGCGCCGAAGAUUUCCGGGGCUAAAACUUACUACCGAAGCUACGGCAUCAGUAAUGAUGGGUAGGGGAGCUUCCCAUACGGGUUGAAGCAUGACCGUAAGGACAUGUGGACAGUAUGGGAGUGAGAAUGUUGGCAUGAGUAGCGAGAUGUGGGUGAGAAUCCCACAGGCCGUAAACCCAAGGUUUCCAGGGGAAGGUUCGUCCGCCCUGGGUUAGUCGGGACCUAAGCUGAGGCCGAAAGGCGUAGGUGAUGGACAACAGGUUGAUAUUCCUGUACUACCGAUAACCGUUUGAGAGAAGGGAUGACACAGUAGGAUAAGCUAAGCACACUGUUGGUUAUGUGUGCCCAAGCAUUGAGGCAGUCAAAGUAGGCAAAUCCGCUUUGAUAAUGCUGGGAUGUGAUGGGGAGCGAAAUUUAGUAGCGAAGUAGCUGAUUUCACACUGUCAAGAAAAGUCUCUAUCGAGGUUAAAGGUACCCGUACCGCAAACCGACACAGGUGGGUGAGGAGAGUAUCCUAAGGCCAGCGAGAGAACUGUUGUUAAGGAACUCGGCAAAAUGACCCCGUAACUUAGGGAUAAGGGGUGCCACCAUCAGGUGGCCGCAGAGAAUAGGCCCAAGCGACUGUUUACCAAAAACAUAGGUUUCUGCUAAGUCGCAAGACGAUGUAUAGGAGCUGACGCCUGCCCGGUGCUGGAAGGUUAAGGGGAUCUGUUAGAGCAAUCGAAGCAGUGAACUUAAGCCCCAGUAAACGGCGGCCGUAACUAUAACGGUCCUAAGGUAGCGAAAUUCCUUGUCGGGUAAGUUCCGACCCGCACGAAAGGCGUAACGAUUUGGGCACUGUCUCAACAACAGACUCGGUGAAAUUGUAAUUCCGGUGAAGAUGCCGGAUACCUGCGACAGGACGGAAAGACCCCAUGGAGCUUUACUGUAGCUUGACAUUGGGUUUUGGUACUACAUGUACAGGAUAGGUGGGAGGCUUUGAAACCAGGACGCCAGUUUUGGCGGAGCCAUCCUUGGGAUACCACCCUUGUAGUACUGGGACUCUAACCAUAGGCCAUGAAUCUGGUCUUGGGACACUGUCAGGUGGGCAGUUUGACUGGGGCGGUCGCCUCCCAAAAGGUAACGGAGGCGCUCAAAGGUUCUCUCAGUACGGUCGGAAAUCGUACGUAGAGUGUAAAGGCAAAAGAGAGCUUGAUUGCAAGACAUACAGGUCGAGCAAGGAUGAAAAUCGGACUUAGUGAUCCGGUGGUUCUGCGUGGAAGGGCCAUCGCUCAACGGAUAAAAGCUACCCUGGGGAUAACAGGCUUAUCUCCCCCAAGAGUCCACAUCGACGGGGAGGUUUGGCACCUCGAUGUCGGCUCAUCACAUCCUGGGGCUGUAGUAGGUCCCAAGGGUUGGGCUGUUCGCCCAUUAAAGUGGUACGCGAGCUGGGUUCAGAACGUCGUGAGACAGUUCGGUCCCUAUCCGUCGCAGGCGUAGGAAAUUUGAGAAGACCUGUCCUUAGUACGAGAGGACCGGGAUGGACGUACCUCUGGUGUACCAGUUGUUCUGCCAAGGGCAUGGCUGGGUAGCUAUGUACGGAAUGGAUAAGCGCUGAAAGCAUCUAAGCGCGAAGCCAACU